AGCACAGAAACUCCAAAGCACACAAAGAAGGAUAGUAGCCCCAAGAAUUUAAAACUACUUUCACCCCGAUUGUAUGCCUCCAGAAAUGUUUCCGAUAAAUGACAAUGUUGCCGUUUUGAGACCGUUGUUAACUACUGGCACAGAAAUGGUAAUGCCUCUGUACCGUAAUUUCUGGAACAUGUACCUCUGGAACUGAAAGACAUUUUAAAUGUCCAAAUGAUUAAACAAACCGAAAACAAAUAAAAUGGAUUAUAAGUCUCUGAAAACAAACUUGCCCUUGCUAUUCGUCAGCAGGCUCGGACACAGAAAAGUAGUAAUUAAAAACUACUCAAAUUAAACAAUAUUUAACUAACUAAACUAUUAACAACUAUAGCAAACACACUGUAAAAACUAACUGAAUGUUGGGAUCCAGGGUGGUGGGUUCUGUUGUCCUUCUUUUCUCCACUAGAGGCUGCUGUUAGGCUGCCUUACCUGAGGGCGUGAUCUGGAGCCUUUGAUUCCAGCACACCUGCGAUCAAUCUGAUCAUCUGGAGAAGGAUUUAAGCAGGGGACUGUUGGCACUUCAGUGCCAGAGUGUGAGCCAGUAUUGGUACACUAAACCCUUUGCAGCCUUUCUCUUGAUGAUAUACUUACCUGAGCUUCUAGUAAUUUAUCUUUUGCAUCUUUCUCAGGACUCAUCUGAAGAUGCUGUGGAAAUACCCACCUGGUUCCGAGUCCCUGGAUCUAUCUGUGCCUUCCUCCUUCGAGACGCUGUGGAAAAUACCCACUGGUUGCCCGAGUGCCAUAGCCACCCCUCUUGCAGUCAACUUACCUCCGUUGAUCACCAGCUGACAGUCCCGCUCCCUCCUUCUCCACCGCCACAUCUGAGCUUACCUGUUCGCCCUCUGCCGCAGCCUCUGCCUCCAGUUCUCCGCCUCUCCUCCUGGACCUCCACCCUGGUGACUACAACCAUACUCCCCCCAGGCUCAGCUCUGUUCAUCUCAAUUCUCCCUAGUUCCUGGUUGCCCCCCUGUUACCAAAGUACGUGUUUUGAAGAAAAUAAAAUCAUUUUAAUUGGGGCCUGCCCAUGCUAUGCAAGGCACGAACCUAUUCUACACCCAAUAAGGCGUUUCUUUAUUUAUUCUUCUUGCACCCCCACAAAAGUGGUAUCAAAACGCUCAGCUUGAUCUCGAAAGGAGCUAUUUUUAGUGGGGUUCGAAGUUAAAAUGGCUACAUAAAUUGAAAAAAAUGAGGCCGGGUGUCUCACAGAGAUGGGAUUCUUUCUCCCUGGCACACACAGUGGAUUUCUGACUCAAACUAUUUUUAACUUGCCCUCACGGCCACAAAUAUCGCUCUAUUGGUCUCGAAGUCGAACAUAAACAUAGAUACACAUGCCUGCUCCCGAAAAAUGUUUGUGAAAUUUUGCUAGGGCUUAUGGUUUUCUGUCAAGCGGCUUCAGACCAACGCCGAGUGUCUCGCAAAGAUAGGAACUCUUUCUCCACCUGACGGACACACCCCAGGUGCAGGUCAUUAAUUACCAUAGAAACAGCUCUGAGCUGCAGACUAUUGUCUGUCUGUGUCUCUCACUAGUAAAGAUGGCUCUUAUCAGGGGCAAGUCCAGUUUAGACGAAUUUGUAGGGCAGCACGGACGUGUUACUGGUUAAGAAUCAGAACACUGGGUCCAAAUCGACGGGCACACUUUGGGCAGGCCCUGGUUACAUUUCUUCAGGAAUUUAAUUUGUCUAUUUGAUCUGUGUUCUGCAUGUGGGUCAGAAAAUUAGAUUUGAACAUGACACUGAAUUAGAUGAAAGUCAACUAAAUAAAACUAACCUAUAAUGGAAAAAACAAAAUUAUAACCCCGAUCCACACAUUUAAUGCAAAUAAAAAUGUGCAAAUCUCCACUUUGCUAUGUGUUUUUAUUAUGAAUCAUUUUUAGUGAUAUUAAGCAGUUUAAUUGUGGAUGAAGGCCAAAUCGCAUACAAAUCUAUUGGGUUUCCUAGAUAUCCAGACGGCUACAUGGGGCCUUAGACCUAACAGGGUUUUGCUGGUUUUCCGUUUUUUAAGUUUUGUAAAGCAAAUGUAAGAAUUACUUAUUCUGAUCCCAGUCAAAAACGACUCRAUACAUCUGUGAAAAUCAACCACAUAAUGGGAAACGCAUGGUAAUUCUACCUACUAUGGUAUCUACAGUCUCCAUGUGUGAUGUUGUCCAUUACCAGCAGUCACACUGAUUCACUAACAGGAUAAUCAGUGAUCACCUCUGGGCCCGGAGAUGCUGAGCAGCCCCCUCCAGAAAGCCAUUUAUCUCGCUGGUGGGUGAGUAGUUUAUAAUUUAAUGAAUUACACCAGGAAAUAUCCACCAUAAACGAUAAGGGGCUUAAAGAACGCCCUGUUUUCUUUUUAAUCUCAAUGCCAGAGGGGGAAACCUCUGACUAUUGCUGUUAAAGCUUCAUUUUUUUCGAUACCCAGCUCGCAUGGUAAACAUUCCCCCACAGAAYGACAACUGUUGACUGUAAUGGCAAGAGGCCAACCGGCGGGGUGUAGAGCGAUUCCAGUCACCGAGGCUAACGGCUCCGACCGUAUACCCACACCGUUAAUGGACCGUGCUUCAUUUCAAUCRAGACAAAAAACAAAACGGAGAAGUUCAAUUGCAGAUCAUAAUCGCUUCUAAUCAGACACAGCACAGUGGCAGCUUUCUGUGUAAACCUGGUUCCAUUCAGUGGUUCUGCUGUGACCCGAGGAUUAGCAUGGGCGCUACACUAACGUUGUUUCUCAUGAUCAGGCCGAUCUAGGAAGAGGAGAAACUCUGUCGGCAACAACGGGGAGAAACUUAAACCUAAACACACAGCGGAGUGUUCAUUCAGGAUGGAGACGUGAAGWGAAUUCCUGCUCAGCAAAACGGAGUCCGAUUGGCCUAUUGAGCUCCAACUAUUGAUCCUCCUUCAUGCCUUUUCUCUUCCUCCUCCUCCUGCUAGCCUCCUGCUAGCUGCYGUGUCUGUGUUUUCGCAGCUUGUCUACAUCUUAACCAAUCUAUCCUCUCUCCCUCCACUCAGUUCUUGCUCCAUGUAAUUGAUUCUCCUCUCCUCUCUACUUCCUCUUGCAGUAGGAAUUUCUGCUGCCAGAUCUCCUUUGACCUCCUCACAAACUGGAGAUGGGAGAUUGAGAGCCUAUCCCAACCACAGCUUAGCACCUCCGUCUGGUUAAAGGAAACAUCCAGUACGUCAUGUAAUGCUGGCUGACUCCAGUUCUGAUUGUAAAACAGAAACCCAGUUUGAUUGUUAGCGUUAGCCUGUAUACGCUGAACAUUCAAUCUGAAUCGAGCUGUAGGUGAAAACAAUUGGUAGAAUAUGACGGAUCUUAGCCUGCCUAUUGGUAUAUUUUAAAAAAUCUGGCACAUUUGCCACGAAAGUAUUUACACUCCAUCAUUUUAUUCAUUUUAUUUGUUACRGACUAAAGACUAAAACAGGUCACUGUAGAGUUGAGGCAAAAYGGUUGCAAGGAUAUUAAAAGAUAAAAAAGAAAAGGAAUGACAUUUAUCCACUAGCUUGAGCAUUCUUCUAUUUCCUYGCAGAGAGAAAAGGAAGAGGCUGCGAGUAGCRAACACAAGCUUGAUUGACAGCGCUAAGACCUUCCUUCUGGUUCUAUUUGGUCGUUUCUGACUCAGUGUUGUAUUUCUACAGUUUGCAGUGGGAGAAGGCAGAGGAGCUCAAGUUUUUUUGCACAGAUUAGGUGUCUCAUACUAUGCUGUCACAGCACAGUGGCAAUUUCAACAAAUAUGUAAAAAAAA